rnacentral:rRNA from 1 species
AUUGAACGCUGGCGGCAUGCUUUACACAUGCAAGUCGAACGGCAGCACAGGGAGCUUGCUCCCGGGUGGCGAGUGGCGCACGGGUGAGUAAUACAUCGGAACGUGUCCUGUUGUGGGGGAUAACUGCUCGAAAGGGUGGCUAAUACCGCAUACGACCUGAGGGUGAAAGUGGGGGACCGCAAGGCCUCAUGCUAUAGGAGCGGCCGAUGUCUGAUUAGCUAGUUGGUGAGGUAAAGGCUCACCAAGGCGACGAUCAGUAGCUGGUCUGAGAGGACGAUCAGCCACACUGGGACUGAGACACGGCCCAG